rnacentral:tRNA from 1 species
GGGCCCGUAGCUCAGCUUGGAUAGAGCAGCACCCUUCUAAGGUGAUGGUCACGGGUUCAAAUCCCGUCGGGCCCG